CUACGGCGUACGAAAGUAGGUAGGAUCCACCUAAAUUGGCACCGAGGAAAUGUUCGUGGAGCCGUCUGUAACGCCGGGUAGCCACGAUCGGCGCUGGGCUGAUUUGACGACAUUCGCAGAGAACGUGCGUCGCCUGGUUAUAUGCUCGCACCCGGACCCCAUGGGACGAACACAUGACGCAAGUAUAAAAUCGCCACUGACCUCGUGUUGGGAAACAGAUCCUUCUCCAUUGACUAACGUUAGCCCUCUGAGCCAAGACAUAUCACUUUAGUCAGGAGAAGCUUGAUAUCUGGUCGGAACAAAACAAUCCCGAUCUCUUUUCCUAUUAAAAAUUCUGUAUGGUUACUCACUCCUCAAACUGUUGUGAACGAUAUACUUUGAGCAUAUUAGAACAAUCGUGGGCGCUGUUGCACAAUUAGUGUUCAGACAAGGCAAAGAACGUGGGAACUUUGUAAAGUUGCACCUUUCAGCAUUUUUUACAGCACUUGAAGUGGAGCAGCUGACGGCACCUGGAACUGAGGGGAAAACAGCGAGAUCGUUUCAUUCUAUCGACGAGAUUAUACCAAGCCUGCGCUGAGCAAGGCUAUAAAGUUGUCACUGAAGGCCUUCAUUAACGAGGUGUCUUCAUCGAGCGGGAUAGAUCGAGCAACUCAGAACUUCUACCAGCGCUAACUGCCUUCGCACAAUUCGAUCACGUCGAGAUCAUCCAAAGCCCCCUAGCUUUACUACGGCGACGUCUUACUUUACCUAAGAUUACGAACAGGAAUGGAGCUGGUUACGUUUCGCCAAGGACUGGCUCUAGUCCUCGUGUUGGCAUUCAGCCAAUGCUGUCUGGUUUCAACGAAGUGUCAUAACCCCUCGCCCAGGAUUCGUAGAUUCUGUGCACAUAGCAAUAACCAUCAUCAUUGCAGAAACAUUAAAUUUUGCAAGAACACAACUAACGAAAGCGUUGAUAAUGUGAUCGCGGCUCAUAAUCACACGGACGAGAACGACACCAUCGCCAUAGCUUCGUCGCAGCAGCAGAACCUGUCACCGACGCGCGGUUCUCCUCUGCCCACUAUCCCUUCAACAACGACUGGAUGCAGGCACCGACGUUGUCGACUCGUCAAGCGCGACUACAAAGUCAAGUUCGGUCAAUGCACGUUCGACGUCGCCCUCCGACGGUGCGCUGGUAAAUGCUGUUCGGAGACCAGGCCGGUAGUCGUGCCAGAAAGCAUUCCAACGAACCAGCUCUCUAUUGGAGAUUUCUUCACAGCUAGAGGAGCGUGCUGCAAAGCAACACAGACGAGUCAUUUCACGGUGACGAGAGAGUGCAAAGGAGCCGAAAUCACUGUACGGCUCACGGAAGCCAAGGCUUGUCAAUGUUCAUAAUAUGCAACUCAAUCUCUGACCUAUUCCCCCCGAGAGAUCGUCUCAUCUUUACGAACAUAAACUCAAUACGCUGCAAUAUGAAACUAUACAGUAUACUUCGAAGUACUCAUAACUUGUCUUCUCGAUUAUCCUCAUUUUAUCCACGUUGAUUCCCAAUGCUAUAACAGUGACUGGCGGCAUCUUGAGACCUAAGUUUAUAUCCUAUUUCCAACUUGAUUUCUUCUGAACGACACCAUACCUCCUCAAAUAUGCAGUACGUUGCGUUUACUCAA